rnacentral:rRNA from 1 species
GAUGAACGCUGGCGGCGUGCCUAAUACAUGCAAGUCGAACGCGAGAGGAGGGAGCUUGCUCCCUCUGAUCGAGUGGCGGACGGGGGAGUAACACGUAGGCAACCUGCCCAUCAGCCGGGGAUAACUGCGGGAAACCGUGGCUAACACCGGAUAAUCCUCUCCACCGCGGGGUGGGGAGUUGAAAGACGGGUUCGGAUGUCGCUGAUGGAUGGGCCUGCGGCGCAUUAGCUGGUUGGCAGGGUAACGGCCCACCUAGGCAACGAUGCGUAGCCGACCUGAGAGGGUGAUCGACCACACUGGGACUGAGACACGGCCCAGACUCCUACGGGAGGCAGCAGUAGGGAAUCUUCCGCAAUGGACGCAAGUCUGACGGAGCAACGCCGCGUGAGUGAAGAAGGGUUUCGGCUCGUAAAACUCUGUUGUUAAGGAAGAACGCCAGGUAGAGUAACUGCUACCUGUGUGACGGUACUUAACCAGAAAGCCACGGCUAACUACGUGCCAGCCGCCGCGGUAA